UUUCCUGUGGCUCAGUUGGUAGAGCAUUACGCUAACAAAGGUAGUGGGUUCAAAUCCCAGGGAAA